GACGAACGCUGGCGGCGUGCUUAACACAUGCAAGUCGAGCGGUAAGGCCCUUUCGGGGGUACACGAGCGGCGAACGGGUGAGUAACACGUGGGUGACCUGCCUUUAGCUCUGGGAUAGGCCUGGGAAACUGGGUCUAAUACCGGAUAUGACCCUAUGGCGCAUGUUGUGGGGUGGAAAGCCUUGUGCGGCUAGGGAUGGGCCCGCGGCCUAUCAGCCUGUUGGUGGGGUGAUGGCCUACCAAGGCGACGACGGGUAGCCGGCCUGAGAGGGCGACCGGCCACACUGGGACUGAGACACGGCCCAGACUCCUACGGGAGGCAGCAGUGGGGAAUCUUGCGCAAUGGGCGAAAGCCUGACGCAGCGACGCCGCGUGAGGGAUGACGGCCUUCGG
rnacentral:rRNA from 1 species